GGGAAAGGUGGGCUCCUCUGGAUAUUGAGCUGUUGGUAUAGCCCAGGGAAGGGGAAAGGUGGGCUCCUCUGGAUAUUGAGCUGUUGGUAUAGCCCAGGGAAGGGGAAAGGUGGGCUCCUCUGGAUAUUGAGCUGUUGGUAUAGCCCAGGGAAGGGGAAAGGUGGGCUCCUCUGGAUAUUGAGCUGUUGGUAUAGCCCAGGGAAGGGGAAAGGUGGGCUCCUCUGGAUAUUGAGCUGUUGGUAUAGCCCAGGGAAGGGGAAAGGUGGGCUCCUCUGGAUAUUGAGCUGUUGGUAUAGCCCAGGGAAGGGGAAAGGAUCGACGUCCCGGACACAGCCCCAGUGAUGCAAUGUGCUAUCUUGAUCGGCAGGAGGCCCGCUGUAGUCGUUUGCUGAGCAGUUCCAUUACCAGACUGCGAUCCAGAUGGUGAGAACACUCCUAAUGGAGCAGCAAUAGGAUGUGGAGAUGAGCUAAGGAAACCAAAUUUCUUUAACUGCCUUAAGGAGAACAGUCACUGUUUUGGCGGCUUUACUGGUCGACGACAAAUCCUUGGGUGUGCGGACCCCAAAAAGAACCAACUGCUUACUCUCUCUAUUGAUGUGGAUCAGGGUGUAUUUCCUGCUCAUUUCCUGCUCGUUCUGCUGACGUUGAGGGAGAGUUUGUUAUCCGGAUGCCGCAAGGCCUUUUUGUUUUCUUUCUCUUUCUUUUCCUAUUUUAAGCCGAGGAACUGGACAUUGCAUUGUCAGAGCUGGGCAUCAUAUCACAUCCUAAACGCUCCAAACCUGGGUUGAUUUUUAUGUUACUAAAAGUUGUGUCCAUUAACGGAUAUAUAGCUUGUAAAUGUUAUUUCAAGAAUUUUUUUCUCUUGGGCAAUAGAUUAGCUUAAUGUUGAGGAACCCAGCAAACAUCAAGUUAUAAAAUAGUAGAAUUCUUCUUUUACAUGAUUUCUGAGUAAGAAGGAUGAAACCCUGGCUGGAUUUCCAUAUACACUGCUCAAAACAAUUAAGGGAAAACUUAAAUCUCACAACGGGUCUUGGUGAACAAAAUAUAUUGAAGUUCAAAAUCUUUAAUGAUGUAACAACGUUAUAACAAAAUGAUGUAACAACGGCCAAUGGAAACCAAAAUCACCAACCAAUUGAGGGCUGGAUUCAAACUCCCACCAAAAAUCGAAGUAAACAUUUGAAAUCACAGGCUGUUCCAACAUGGAAACUCAUAAUGUGACUCCGUAGUAUGUAUGGUCCCACACAUGCCUGUAUGUGCUCCUGAUGAGACGACGGAUGGUGUCCUAGGGGAUCUCCUCCCAGACCUGGAUCUGGGCAUCAGUGAGCUCCUGGAGAGUCUGUGGUACUACAUGGCCUCGUCAGAUGCAUCGAUACAGGUCCCAGAGGUUCUCAAUUGGAUUCAGCUCUGGGGAACGUGAGGGCCAGUCAAUGGCAACAAUACUUUCAU